AGUAACGCAUCGGAACGUACCGAGUAGUGGGGGAUAACUGUCCGAAAGGAUGGCUAAUACCGCAUACGCUUUGAGAAGGAAAGCGGGGGAUCUUCGGACCUCGCGCUAUUCGAGCGGCCGAUGUCUGAUUAGCUGGUUGGUGGGGUAAAGGCCUACCAAGGCGACGAUCAGUAGCGGGUCUGAGAGGAUGAUCCGCCACACUGGGACUGAGACACGGCCCAGACUCCUACGGGAGGCAGCAGUGGGGAAUUUUGGACAAUGGGCGCAAGCCUGAUCCAGCCAUGCCGCGUGUCUGAAGAAGGCCUUCGGGUUGUAAAGGACUUUUGUCAGGGAAGAAAAGCUUGAGGCUAAUACCCUUGAGUGAUGACGGUACCUGAAGAAUAAGCACCGGCUAACUACGUGCCAGCAGCCGCGGUAAUACGUAGGGUGCGAGCGUUAAUCGGAAUUACUGGGCGUAAAGCGGGCGCAGACGGUUACUUAAGUCAGAUGUGAAAUCCCCGGGCUCAACCUGGGAACUGCGUUUGAAACUGGGUAGCUAGAGUAUGUCAGAGGGGGGUAGAAUUCCACGUGUAGCAGUGAAAUG
rnacentral:rRNA from 1 species